rnacentral:sRNA from 1 species
ACUACCAAACAGACAAUAACAGUUGAACAGUCUGCUUAAGAAAUGUUAGACCGUCGCGUCAAACAUCUCUUAAUGUAGGGUAAUAAAAGCAUCUCUGCCAACCUUGCUUGGACUAUUUGGUAGCGAAUUCACAGAAAAACUGGCAGCAAAACGCAAGUUCGAAAUACAGUAAAACUUCGUUAUCUCGAGUACUGAUCGGGACAGACCAAAUGCUCGAGAUAAACCAGGUGCUCGUUAUAACCAAAGUUCAUAUUCAGCUGAUUGUAUUACUUAGAGCAAAUUCGCCGGGACUUCGAAAUUUGCUCGAGAUAGGCAGAGUGCUCGCAAUAUCGAUGCUCGAGAUAACGAAGUUUUACUGUAAUAGGGAUCUGUAACGAACCAUAAUCAUAAAGAACUCUUUUCUUAUAUGUCAUCAGUGAUUACCAUUUGUAACAGAUCACUAUGCUUG